GCUAGGAAACACAUCAGCCUAAUUUUACAUUUUAAAGUACAUUUCUGCUGCGACUUUGGAUUUCAACCACGAAGAUGAAGACUCUUGGAUUUUACAUGCUGGUUCUGCUGGCCUUUUCACAGGUAACUACUUGAAAUCUUUUUUAAUUUUCAUAUUUACCAUCGAAGAAAUGUGCUAAAUUACCAGCAAAAAUACUUACAUAUACCCAUUAUAGCAUACAUAUAACCAUUAUGGAAAGGGCCUGAAAUUGCCAGUACGGUUAAUGGGAAAAAGUGAGAUCUAUGACUCAUCCUAUUGUCCUUAAAAGGUCAGAUAAAGUUUUUGUGUCACCUGAUAAGUCUUUUAUAGCCACCCUCAUGUGAUGUUUCUAUUUGCCAUUGUGGUUAUUCUUUUGUGAUAGUCAUUAUUUCACUGUUAGUCAAACAGUUUUUGCCGCAUAUUUCGAGAUGUUCCACUUGUUGGUGGAAUAAAACGAAGAAAAAAACUGAAGGGGCACAUUACAGAUUCAUAAAUGAAUCUCUUACCUGUCGCAACAUGACAAGAAAAUUACCAAAAUUACACGGCAAAACAAAAAUGAUAGAAAUAUGUUUUUAAAUGGAUGCAGGGGCUUAUCUAGAUGGUUUAGCAGGGUGGUUUGGCCCCCAUCCCCCUGGGGAAAAAAUCUUUGGUUAGUUUUGAUGUCACCCCAAUGUUGCUAAACCGUGAUUGGUUGCAAUCAUUGGUUACAUACAGUUACACUAUCCACCAUUUUUUCUUUUGAAUCAAUGCAUAACUCGUAGCGUUAAAAUAAUCAAAAUACAAGUUAUUAAAAUGUUCACCCCCUGUACUGUGUAUUUAAAUAAUAACACUAACUAUCCAGACCAUAUUUAUUUUGGUACCAGGCUGCAAAUAUGUUGAACUCUGCAGCGAAAAAGGACAUUUUAACACGGAAAAUAAUGGGGAGUGCUCGGUUUUUGCAGUCAGCCUCAAGUGGACACUCUGGGAACUGCGUCUUUUUUGCACUUAGUUGUAAAAGGAAAUCAAGCAUGAAAUAUUGUGCAGUUGUUCGCACCAUUUUUGCUACUUUUAAAGUAAAAAGAAAACACAAAAGAUUACAACAUCCGAGCUAGUCCACCCAGGUUCUAGUCUGGAUCUAUGCAUUAGCAUUUGUUUGGAAUGAGGAUUUCAAUCAUUUCUGCUCCGUUUUCCAAUCAGGCUCAAGAAAAUGCAACAUCCAUGGCAACAACCACAGCUGCGAUGGAACCAAACAUGACCAUGCCUACAACUGUUACUGCAGCCUCUACGGCUAUGCCUACCACCGUCACACCUACCACCGUCACAACAUCUGUGGCGCCGCCAAACACCCCCACCAUCCUCACGACCACCACUACAGCCGAGCCAAUGACUCCAACUGCAUCUACAACGAUGGCGCCAAACACCACUUCAACUGUAGCUCCAGCCACCACUACAAGAGUUACACCACCCAUGCCAGAAACCACAGCCCCUCCCCCAGUUAGUGCUUCAACUCCACCCCCACCUGUCACUACUUCAGGUGCCAUGUCAUCUACACCCCCUCCCGUAACUAAUGCUUCAACCGCAGCUCCACCCAUCACUACGAACAACUCAACUGUCACCCCAACUGUUCCUGCGACCACCCCAGCCAACUCCACCACCGCAAAUUCAACUUUAACAACCCCCAUCGUCACCACCAUGAACAUCGGCUCUGAAGUGAAAGCUUCUCUGAUGUUCUCUGUGGCGCCGUUGUUCCUCUAUGCUCUCUGCCCCUGAGCAGCUCCAGG